CCUACGGGCGGCAGCAGUGGGGAAUAUUGGACAAUGGGGGCAACCCUGAUCCAGCCAUGCCGCGUGUGUGAAGAAGGCCCUCGGGUUGUAAAGCACUUUCAGUGAGGAAGAACGCCUGGUGGUUAAUACCCAUCAGGAAAGACAUCACUCACAGAAGAAGCACCGGCUAACUCCGUGCCAGCAGCCGCGGUAAUACGGAGGGUGCGAGCGUUAAUCGGAAUUACUGGGCGUAAAGCGCGCGUAGGUGGCUUGAUAAGCCGGUUGUGAAAGCCCCGGGCUCAACCUGGGAACGGCAUCCGGAACUGUCAAGCUAGAGUGUAGGAGAGGAAGGUAGAAUUCCCGGUGUAGCGGUGAAAUGCGUAGAGAUCGGGAGGAAUACCAGUGGCGAAGGCGGCCUUCUGGACUGACACUGACACUGAGGUGCGAAAGCGUGGGUAGCAAACAGGAUUAGAUACCCUAGUAGUC
rnacentral:rRNA from 1 species